CAGCAUGAACUUAGCUUGCUAAGUUUGAUGGCGACCGGCGCACGGGUGAGUAACACGUAUCCAACCUGCCGAUGACUCGGGGAUAGCCUUUCGAAAGAAAGAUUAAUACCCGAUGGCAUAGUUCUUCCGCAUGGUAGAACUAUUAAAGAAUUUCGGUCAUCGAUGGGGAUGCGUCCGAUUAGGCAGCAGGCGGGGCAACGGCCCACCUGGCCGACGAUCGGUAGGGGUCCUGAGAGGGAGGCCCCCACACUGGGACUGAGACACGGCCCAGACUCC
rnacentral:rRNA from 1 species